rnacentral:tRNA from 1 species
GGUAAGGUGGCCGAGUGAUAGGCGGCGGGUUGUAGCCCCGUGUACAGAGGUUCAAUCCCUCUUCUUACCA